UGAGGAAUAUUGGUCAAUGGGCGUAAGCCUGAACCAGCCAAGUCGCGUGAGGGAAGACGGCCCUAUGGGUUGUAAACCUCUUUUGCCGGGGAGCAAGAGGCGCCACGCGUGGCGCCGUGAGAGUACCCGGAGAAAAAGCAUCGGCUAACUCCGUGCCAGCAGCCGCGGUAAUACGGAGGAUGCGAGCGUUAUCCGGAUUUAUUGGGUUUAAAGGGUGCGUAGGCGGGCUGUUAAGUCAGCGGUAAAAUUGCGGGGCUCAACCCCGUCGAGCGUUGCAAAUCUGGCAGGCCUUGGAGGUCAUGGCGAGGAAGAUGUGCGGAAUGCGUGGUGUAGCGGUGAAAUGCAUAGAUAUCACGCAGAACUCCGAUUGCGAAGGCAGCACGCCGGCGCCUUACUGACGCUGAAGCACGAAAGCGUGGGUAUCGAACAGGAUUAGAUACC
rnacentral:rRNA from 1 species